rnacentral:rRNA from 1 species
UAACGCGAAGAACCUUACCAGGUCUUGACAUCUUCUGCUAACCUAAGAGAUUAGGCGUUCCCUUCGGGGACGGAAUGACAGGUGGUGCAUGGUUGUCGUCAGUUCGUGUCGUGAGAUGUUGGGUUAAGUCCCGCAACGAGCGCAACCCUUAUUGUCAGUUGCCAGCAUUUAGUUGGGCACUCUGGCGAGACUGCCGGUGACAAACCGGAGGAAGGUGGGGAUGACGUCAAAUCAUCAUGCCCCUUAUGACCUGGGCUACACACGUGCUACAAUGGACGGUACAACGAGUCGCGAAACCGCGAGGUCAAGCUAAUCUCUUAAAGCCGUUCUCAGUUCGGAUUGUAGGCUGCAACUCGCCUACAUGAAGUUGGAAUCGCUAGUAAUCGUGGAUCAGC